CAGGUCAGCAUACUGCCGUGAAUACGUUCCCGGGCCUUGUACACACCGCCCGUCACACCAUGAGAGUUGGAGAUACCCGAAGCCUAUGAGCUAACUUUUAGAGGCAGUAGUCGAAGGUAGAAUCAAUGAUUGGGGUGAAGUCGUAACAAGGUAUC
rnacentral:rRNA from 1 species